CCCCAAAGUGUUGCGUUGAGUUCAGAGCAGCUCCCCUGUUCCUCUCAUUAAACUUUGGGACAUUGAAAGUGGCUAAAGGAAAUGCCUGAAUAGAGAAUAUUACUCUAUUCAUAUAUGUCCUAGUCAAAAGCA